AACGCAUAUUGCGCCUCGUGGUAUUCCGGGAGGCAUGCCUGUUUGAGAACCUUGACGUACCUCAAAACCCACCUUCGGGUUGGGUGUUUGGAUCUGGGCUCUCCCUCCCUCUCCUCGAGAGGAAGGGUUGCCUUAAAUUCAGCAAUCGAGCGGUAGAAGUCCACUUUUGCAAAGACGUGAUAAUAUGGGACUUUUGAUCCUGUUUUGACGUCGAAGCGCUCUUGGUGUUCUUCAUUUUAAAAGCUUUUCUUCAAAAGCUGCCGUCCGAUCCAUCGUCACCAGGCACAACCUAGUUGUGAAUCCCUGAACACCUGGUCUCAAAUCAGACAAGACAACCCGCUGAACUUAA
rnacentral:misc_RNA from 1 species